GGCAGAGGGUGCAAACGUUGUUCGGAUUUACUGGGCGUAAAGCGCGUGUAGGCGGUCUUGCAAGUCGGAUGUGAAAGCCCACGGCUCAACCGUGGAAGUGCAUCCGAAACUGCAUAGCUUGAGUCUCGGAGAGGAAGGUGGAAUGCUUGGUGUAGAGGUGAAAUUCGUAGAUAUCAAGCAGAACACCUGCGGCGAAGGCGGCCUUCUGGACGAUGACUGACGCUGAGACGCGAAAGCGUGGGGAGCAAACAGG
rnacentral:rRNA from 1 species